CUGACGACCGGCGAACGGGUGCGUAACGCGUAUAGAAUCUACCUCUUACUAAGGGAUAGCCCAGAGAAAUUUGGAUUAAUAUCUUAUAGUAUAUAGACUUGGCAUCAAGAUUAUAUUAAAGGUUACGGUAAGAGAUGACUAUGCGUCCUAUUAGCUAGAUGGUGUGGUAACGGCACACCAUGGCGACGAUAGGUAGGGGCCCUGAGAGGGGGAUCCCCCACACUGGUACUGAGACACGGACCAGACUCCUACGGGAGGCAGCAGUGAGGAAUAUUGGACAAUGGAGGCAACUCUGAUCCAGCCAUGCCGCGUGCAGGAAGACUGCCCUAUGGGUUGUAAACUGCUUUUAUACAGGAAGAAACACUCUCACGUGUGAGAGCUUGACGGUACUGUAAGAAUAAGGAUCGGCUAACUCCGUGCCAGCAGCCGCGGUAAUACGGAGGAUCCAAGCGUUAUCCGGAAUCAUUGGGUUUAAAGGGUCCGUAGGUGGAUGAUUAAGUCAGAGGUGAAAUCCUGCAGCUCAACUGUAGAAUUGCCUUUGAUACUGGUUAUCUUGAGUUAUUAUGAAGUAGUUAGAAUAUGUAGUGUAGCGGUGAAAUGCAUAGAUAUUACAUAGAAUACCAAUUGCGAAGGCAGAUUACUAAUAAUAUACUGACACUGAUGGACGAAAGCGUGGGGAGCGAACAGGAUUAGAUACCCUGGUAGUCCACGCCGUAAACGAUGGUCACUAGCUGUUCGAAUUUCGGUUUGA
rnacentral:rRNA from 1 species